AUUGAACGCUGGCGGCAGGCCUAACACAUGCAAGUCGAGCGGAUGAAGGGAGCUUUCUCCUGGAUUCAGCGGCGGACGGGUGUGUAAUGCCUAGGAAUCUGCCUGGUAGUUGUGGAUAACGUCCUGAAACGGGCGCUAAUACCGCAUACGUCCUGAGUGAGAAAGUGGGGGAUCUUCGGACCUCACGCUAUCAUAUGAGCCUAGGUCGUAUUAGCUAGUUGGUGGGGUAAAGGCCUACCAAGGCGACGAUCCGUAACUGGUAUGAGAGGAUGAUCAGUCAAACUGGAAAGGAGACACGGACAAGACGACGACGGGAGGCAGCAGUGGGGAAUAUUGGACAAGGGGCGAAAGAAUGAUACAGCAAUGCCGCGGGUGUGAAGAAGGUCUUCGGAUUGUAAAGCACUUGAAGUUGGGAGGAAGGGAAGUAAGUUAAUAACUUGAUGGUUUGACGUUAACAAAAGAAUAAGCACCGGCUAACUACGUG
rnacentral:rRNA from 1 species